UAAUAAUAAUAAUAAUACAUUUUAUUUAAAAGCGCCUUUCUGAGCACCCAAGGACACUUUACAGGGCAUAAAAACACAGCUAGAAACAUAAUUAAAAUAAAUAAAAACAACAUACAAGUGUGAAAGUAGACAGUUAAAGUGAGUAUGCGAUUUGGAAGAGGUGUGUUUUGAGAUUGGAUUUAAAGUGGGGUAAUGAGUCCAUGUUCCUGAGGUCCAGGGGGAGAGAGUUCCAGAGUUUGGGAGCAGAGCGACUGAAAGCCCUGCUCCCCAUGGUGCUGAGCCGGGCAGAGGGAGGGGACAGAGAGGUGGAGGGAGGAGGAGGAUCUGAGGGAGCGUGAGGGGGUGGGGAUGUGGAGGAGAUCGGAGAGGUGGGGGGGGGCAAGGUUAUGGAUGGCCUUGAAAGUGUACAGGAGGAUUUUGUAGUUGAUUCUGGACCUGACGGGGAGCCAGUGAAGCUGCUGAUGGACAGGGGUGAUGUGGUGAAAAGAGGGGGUUCUGGUGAUGAUGCGGGCUGCAGAGUUUUGGACAAGUUGAAGUUUAUGGAGGGAUUUGUGAGGGGCACCGAAAAGGAGUGAGUUGCAGUAGUCUAUGCGUGAGGUAACAAGGCUGUGGACCAGAAUAGCUAUGGUGUGAGGAGUGAGUGAUGGACGGAGACGGUUGAUGUUUCGUAGGUGGAAAUAUGCAGACCGGGUGAUGCUACUGAUGUGGGAGUGGAAUGAUAGAGAGCUGUCGAGGAUGACACCCAGACUCUUAACCUGAGGGGAAGGGGAUACUGUGGAAUUGUCUAUGGAGAGGGAGAAACUGUCAGUUUUGGAAAGAGUGGACUUGGUACCGACCAGGAGGAGUUCUGUUUUAUUGGAGUUGAGUUUGAGGAAGUUUGAGGUGAACCAGGAUUUAAUUUCUGAGAGGCAGUGGGUGAGGGAGGAGGGUGGAAGGGAGGCGUCGGGUUUGCUGGAGAGGUAGAGCUGGGUGUCAUCUGCGAAGCAAUGAAAAUGUAUGCCAAAUUUACGGAGGAUGCUGCCAAGGGGAAGGAGAUAGAUAAUGAAGAGGAGGGGGCCUAGGACAGAACCCUGGGGGACACCAGAAGUGACGGGGGAGGGCUGUGAGGUGAAUGAUUUGAGUUGGAUGAACUGAGUGCGGCCAGUGAGGUAUGAGUGAAACCAGUGGAGGGGGGUGUGAGUAAUGCCUAUGGAGGAGAGUCUAUGGAGGAGGAUGGGAUGAGAGAUGGUGUCGAAGGCCGCACUCAGAUCGAGGAGAAUGAGGAUGGAGAUUAAACCGGAGUCAGCUGCCAUGAGGAGGUCGUUAGUGAUUUUGAUGAGGGCUGUUUCAGUGCUAUGGAGGGGACGGAAGCCGGACUGGAACUGUUCAUAGAGACUGUUGUGAGUGAGAUGGGUGUGGAGUUGAGAGGCAACAGUUUUUUCUAGAAUUUUGGAAAUGAAGGGGAGGUGGGAAAUGGGGCGGAGGUUAUUGAAGUCGUUGGGGUCUGAACCAGGUUUUUUCAGGGUGGGACUGAUGGUUGCAGUUUUGAAGGGGGUGGGAACAGUUCCAGUAGACAGAGAGGAGUGAAUGAUGGCUGAGAUGAGGGGUAGCAGAGAGGGCAGACAGGAUUUGACCAGAGGAGCGGGGAGGGGGUCCAGCAGGCAGGAUGAAGGUUUAGAUUUGUGUAUGAGGUCAGCAAUUUCUGAGGGGUUAGGGAGUAUAAAGGUGGAAAAAGGUUGGAAGGGAGGGAGAGGUUCAGAUGAGGGAAGAGGUGAGGAUGUGGAGCCCAGGUUCUGAUGGAUCUUGCUGAUUUUGUUAUUGAAAAAACUGAGGAGAGAGUCGCAGGUGUCUGAGGAGUACAUGUGGGGAGGAAAGCAGUCCGGGGGUUGAAUGAUAUGGUUGUAGAUAGAGAAGAGAGACUUGGGGUUACCAGCAUUGGAGCAGAUGAGUCCAGAAUAGUAUUGAGUCCUGAUAGAGAGACAACUGGGUUGUUAGGAUGUCUUUGUGGAUGGAUAGACCGGUUUUUCUGAAGAGUCUUUCUAGCUGUCGAUUUUUGGAUUUUAAGGAGCGGAGAUGGGGGGUAAACCAAGGUGCGGAUCUAGUGAAGGAGACAGAGCGGGAUGUGACAGGAGCAAUUGAGUUCAAUAUAUUGGACAGUCCAUCGUUAUAUUGUGUGACAAGAUCAUCAGGGGUGGAGGUGGGGUUCAGGGUGUGGGUGGUGAUGUAGGAGGAAAGGGAGUCCAAGUUAAUGUCCUUUAUGUUGCGGUAUGAGAUGGUGCGGGGGGCUUUGGAGAUGGAGAGCUGAAGAUUGACGUUAAGUGAGAGGAGGGAGUGGUCCGUAAUGUGUAAUGUGUCGGCGGUACAGUUGGAGGGGGUGAGACCUGAGCAGCAAAUUAAAUCUAUUGUGUGGCCUUUGAUAUGUGUGGGGAAAUCUGCAAACUGCUGAAAACCAAAGCUGUCGAGUAAUGAAGAGAAGUCCGUGGUAAGGGGUAGGGUAGGAUUGUCCAUGUGGAUAUUGAAAUCUCCAAGCAGAAUUAUAUUGGGUGAGAGAGUGGCGAGGUGAGUAAGAAGGACAGAGAAUUCAUUUAAAAAGUUACUGUGGGGUUUGGGAGGACGGUAUAUAGUGGCAAUGAUUGUGGGGACAGGUCCGGGUAGCUGACACGCUAGACAUUCCAGUGAGGAGAGAGGAGGCAGAGAGACAGGCAGGACCUUCCAGGGACGUGGGGGGGGUCUCGCGAUACUGUAUCGCAAGACCUCCCCCACGUCCCGACUCACGCGGUUUCGAGAUGUAAACAAACCCCGCCGGAGAGGAGUCGUUCAGCUGUGAAAAGUCACUGGGGACUUGCCACGUCUCGUUUAAGCAUAAAAAGUCAAACUUGCGGUAGACAAGGAUAUCUUGGACGAGAUGUCCUUUACCUGAGAGGGACCUGAUAUUUAGCAGACCGAAGCUGACGUCCGUGGUGUUGUUGUUGUGGGGAGUGCUAACCGACCUAGCCAGGUUGGCUAACACCCUGUGGUCCACAGCCCGGCCGGUGUUUUUGUGUGGGCGACGAGUGGAGGACCAGAAAGAGGUAAUCCUCUUGGAGCCGCCAGAGUGGACAGCCCACCGGGACCCACGGUGGAUAUACCUUGGACGUGGCUGGAGGGCGAUGUCCGGGUGGAGGUGUAGAGCCGCCGGUGGAGGUCCAGGCUUCUGGGAGCGGAGUCUGAGAAACUCCGCCGCCGAAUACUGGAGGGGUCCUUCUACGGGUAGAUGGAGGAGCGACAGGGCAGUCCACGCCAGGGUGACCAGGGUAGCCGGUAGAUAGACCCGACUGAUCCACAUGGUGAAGCGAGGUGGAGAUGAUGAGACGGGGAGCCGGGUGAUGUGUCGAGUAGGUAGGCUACCCGACCAGGCACACUGGGCGAUGGGAGCUCAAAAAGUUGGUAAAAGUUGGUGAAUUACAGGGUAAGAGUCCAGGGGAGACCAGCUUUAACUGGGAGCUGGUCUCCAGAGCACGGAAAAGUGUUAAAAAGUUAAAAGUUACCGGUGAGCAGCGGCAGCCAAACGCGCCAGCGUCCACUCAACCGGAAUGUGUGAUGUGCGACCUUAAGUUAAUAUGCAAACCCACCUACAGGACCAACUCGGAACAUCACUAUCAAAGGACCUCACUCUUGAGCCACAGUUGCAACCAAAUAAAGGGAUGUUUCAUGCAAUUUCUCUGCAGCCUCAUUCUCAAAAUGUCUCAGAUUUUAAGUCUGCACCUCUCAGGCCACUAAUUUCACAUGAACACAUGCCUAGGCAUCAGCCUGCACAAAAUGGAUCAUCAGUGUACAAUACAAUGGAUCAGGAUGGUAUUUGUGGGAUUAUGCAAAGGCAAAAUGAAAUCACCAGCAUGCUUGUGCAACAACAACUUUUAACCACUUUGCCACAAAGAGACAUAGUAACCUUUGAUGGCGACCCAUUGCAGUUUGUCUCCUUUAUGAGGACCUUUGAACACUGUAUUGAGGAGAGGACCAGCAGUUAUCAAGAUUGUCUGUACUUCUUGGAACAAUACACCAGGGGGCAGCUUAAGGAGCUGGUGCGACGCUGUCUUCACAUGACGCCACAGCAAGGAUACCAGACAGCAAAAUGUCUUCUAAAGGAGCAUUUUGGUAGUGAGCACAGGAUAGUGACUGCUUACAUGGACAAAGCAUUUGGAUGGCCUGUCAUUAAAUCGGAGGAUGUUCAUGCUCUACAGGAAUUUGCAUUGUUCUUGAGAGAUUGCUGCAAUACUAUGACUGAGAUACAGUAUAUGGAGGAAUUGAACACCCCAUCUCAUAUGAGGCAUGUCUUAAUGAAGUGGCCGUACAAGCUGCGGGAAAAAUGGAGGUCUUCAGCAUGUGAAAUUCAGGAGCGACGAGGCUUUAGAGCCACAUUUUCAGAUAUGGUAUGCUUUCUGGAAAAGCAAGUCAAAGUGUUGUCUCACCCAUUGUUUGGAGAUAUUUCUGAUGUUUGAUCAAACACUUUGAGGGUUUCAAAUGCAAGCAAAUCAGUACCAAGGAACAACAUUAAAGGAAGCAGUUUUGCAACAUCGAUUUCAACAUCAGAUCACGCUGUAUCCAAAUCCACAGUGCACAGGAGCACAAGGCAGCCAAUAACAUUAAAGGAAUCAUCUUCAGAAUCAUGUCUCUACUGUAAGGAGUCACAUUCAUUGCUCAAGUGUACAAGACUGGUCAAGCUUUCUCAGCGGGAGAAGAUUGACUUUCUGAGAGGAAAAGGAGUGUGUUUUGGAUGCUUGAAGGCUGGCCACAUGAGUAGGGAGUGCAGGAGCCGCCUGACCUGCAGUGAAUGCAAUCUAAAACAUCCUACUAUACUGCACGUCCAUAGCAAAGACAAGAGCCAAAUAUCAGAAACACCUGUCAGUAGUGCACUUGUCUCUCUUCAGGCAUGUGGUUGUACAGGGGCCGGAGAUGACAACUGUACCCUUUCCAUCGUCCCAGUACAGUUGAAAUCUAAGAUGGGAGAUAAGGUGCUACAGACAUACGCCUUCUUGGACCCUGGAAGCACAGCCACCUUUUGUACCAGUGGUUUCUUGAAGAAGCUGAACCUGCAAGGCAAAAGAACCAACAUCCUUCUGCGCACCAUGGGCCAAGAAAAGGUGGAAAGUCAAGUUGUCUCAGGGCUGGAAGUCUCUAAAUUGGAUGGAAAUCAGUUUGUGGAACUCCCAGAGACCUACACCCAGGAAACAAUCUCUGUCUCAAGGAGUAAUAUUCCCACACAGGAGGAAAUUCAAAGAUGGAAAUAUCUGAAGGAUAUCAGGAUCCCAGAGUUGGAUGCUGAAGUGGAGGUCUUAAUUGGGACUAAUGCACCAAAGCUUAUGGAGCCCUGGGAGAUCAUAAACAGUGUAGGCGAUGGACCUUACGCCGUGAGGACCCUAUUGGGGUGGGUCAUCAACGGUCCUGUGUGGGGCAAUAGUGGUUGUUGCCAGAGAAGCUGCUCAACCAUUUGUGUCAAUAGGAUAUCCGUUGCCCGGCUGGAGGAGCUGUUGAUAUCCCAAUACAACCAAGACUUCAAUGAGAAGGUGUUGGAGGAGAGGCAGGAGAUGUCAAGGGAGGAUCUAAGAUUUAUGGAGAUCUUGGAAAAGUCUGCUUCCAUGCAGGACAAUCACUACUACAUGGACUUACCUUUUAAAGUGGAUGACAUCACCAUGCCUAACAACCGGUGCAUUGUGGAACAGCGUGCUCAAACUCUCAAAAGGAAAUUUGAAAGGAACGAAACCUACCAGGAGGAGUACACAGCAUUCCUGAAUGACAUGAUUGACUGUGGAUAUGCUGAAGUAGUGCCUGAGGAUCAACUGGAUGGAAAGAAUGGCAGUGUGUGGUAUCUCCCUCAUCACGGCAUGUACCACCCAAGAAAAAAAACCCUGAGAGUUGUCUUUGAUUGUGGAGCAGGAUUCAAAGGAGCCUCCUUGAAUGGUCAGCUGUUGCAAGGUCCCAACCUUACUAAUUCUCUCUUUGGGGUCUUGACCAGAUUCAGAGAGGAAAACGUGGCUUUGAUGACGGACAUCCAAUCUAUGUUUCAUCAAGUAAGAGUGUCAGAAAGGCAAGUGGACUUCCUUCGGUUUCUGUGGUGGCCCAAUGGAGACAUGACACAAAGUCUGACACAAAGACAUGACAUGAAAGUGCACAUCUUUGGGGAGGUUUCUUCCCCCAGCUGCGCCAACUAUGCUUUGAGGAGGACGGCAGUGGAUAAUAAGGCUGAAUUCCAAAAGAGUGUGACAGACACCAUCCACAACAACUUUUAUGUGGACGAUUGCCUGAAAUCUUUACCCUCAGAGGAAGAAGCAAUACAACUCGUAAAGGAUCUCAGCGGCUUGUGCUCAAAGGGAGGAUUUCAGUUGGUGAAGUGGACGAGCAACAGUCGGGCUGUAUUGUCAUCGAUUCCUGAGACCAAGAGAUCAAAAACGAUCAGGCAAUUACACCUGGAACAAGAUUCACUUCCUGUCGAGACAGCACUGGGAUUGAGUUGGUGUGCUGAAAGUGACUGUUUCAUCUUCAAACCUGCAGUUGAAAAGCAACCAAACACCAGACGUGGAAUCCUUUCAAUUGUGAGUUCCAUCUAUGACCCCUUGGGAUUUCUGUCACCUUUAACCCUACUACCAAAGUUGCUGUUGCAGGAGAUGUGUCGGAAGAACAUGUCAUGGGAUGACCCGAUACCUCAGACAUUCCUGCAAUGUUGGACUGGAUGGUUGAUGGACCUGGAAAGGAUAUCUGAGUUUAAGGUGGAUCGUUGUAUCAGGCCUAAGAACAUAAGAGGACUCAUGCUAGCACAGCCUCAUCACUUUUCAGAUGCUAGCGACU
rnacentral:lncRNA from 1 species